rnacentral:rRNA from 1 species
GAUGAACGCUGGCGGCGUGCCUAAUACAUGCAAGUCGAGCGAACGGACGAGAAGCUUGCUUCUCUGAUGUUAGCGGCGGACGGGUGAGUAACACGUGGAUAACCUACCUAUAAGACUGGGAUAACUUCGGGAAACCGGGGCUAAUACCGGAUAAUAUUUUGAACCGCAUGGUUCAAAAGUGAAAGACGGUCUUGCUGUCACUUAUAGAUGGAUCCGCGCUGCAUUAGCUAGUUGGUAAGGUAACGGCUUACCAAGGCAACGAUGCAUAGCCGACCUGAGAGGGUGAUCGGCCACACUGGAACUGAGACACGGUCCAGACUCCUACGGUAGGCAGCAGUAGGGAAUCUUCCGCAAUGGGCGAAAGCCUGACGGAGCAACGCCGCGUGAGUGAUGAAGGUCUUCGGAUCGUAAAACUCUGUUAUUAGGGAAGAACAUAUGUGUAAGUAACUGUGCACAUCUUGACGGUACCUAAUCAGAAAGCCACGGCUAACUACGUG